AGAUUUGGAAAGCAGCAUGACACAGAGAGAUCUUCCAUCCACUGCUUUACUACCCAAAUGGCUAAAACAGCCAGGACUGAGCAAAAUCAGACAGGAACUAAGAACUUCACCUGGGACUCCCAUGGUUUUUUUCAGAAGGGCAAGGAGAAUUGACCACAGACCCUGAAUGCCCAGUGGAUCUUCUUUCUGGAGUGCAACAAUAAAUGGUCAUGAAUUUACUUAUAUACUUCUACAAAAAUCAUUCCCUGAUUCACAAAACUUGCCAUUUCAAAGAGGACAUCCAAUGUUAUAUGAAGAUUCUG